rnacentral:rRNA from 1 species
AUUGAACGCUGGCGGCAGGCCUAACACAUGCAAGUCGAACGAGUGGCGGACGGGUGAGUAAUGUCUGGGAAACUGCCUGAUGGAGGGGGAUAACUACUGGAAACGGUAGCUAAUACCGCAUACCAUCGGAUGAGCCCAGAUGGGAUUAGCUUGGAGGUGGGGUAAAGGCUCACCUAGGCGACGAACCCUAGCUGGUAUGAGAGGAGGACCAGCCACACUGGACGUGAGACACGGUCCAGACUCCUACGUGAGGCAGCAGUGGGGAAUAUUGCACAAUGGGCGCAAGCCUGAUGCAGCCAUGCCGCGUGUAUGAAGAAGGCCUGCGGGUGGUAAAGUACUUUCAGCGGGGAGGCGUUACCCGCAGAAGAAGCACCGGCUAACUCCGUGCCAGCAGCCGCGGUAAUUC